UCCUGGCUUAGGAUGAACGCUGGCGGCGUGCUUAACACAUGCAAGUCGAACGAAGCACUUAUUUGAAACCUUCGGGUAGAUUAUUCUGUGACUUAGUGGCGGACGGGUGAGUAACGCGUGGGUAACCUGCCUCAUACACCGGGAUAACAGUUGGAAACGGCUGCUAAUACCGGAUAAGCAUACAGUACCGCAUGGUACAGUGUGAAAAACUCAGGUGGUAUGAGAUGGACCCGCGUCUGAUUAGCUAGUUGGUAAGGUAACGGCUUACCAAGGCGACGAUCAGUAGCCGACUUGAGAGAGUGAUCGGCCACAUUGGGACUGAGACACGGCCCAAACUCCUACGGGAGGCAGCAGUGGGGAAUAUUGCACAAUGGGGGAAACCCUGAUGCAAGCGACGCCGCGUGAAGGAUGAAGUAUUUCGGUAUGUAAACUUCUAUCAGCAAGGAAGAAAAUGACGGUACUUGACUAAGAAGCCCCGGCUAAAUACGUGCCAGCAGCAGC
rnacentral:rRNA from 1 species